GACGAACGCUGGCGGUGUGCUUAACACAUGCCAGUCGAACGGUAAGGCCCUUUCGGGGGUACACGAGUGGCGAACGGGUGAGUAACACGUGAGUAACCUGCCCUCAUCUCUGGGAUAACAGUCGGAAACGGUUGCUAAUACUGGAUAUGAGCUUGCAAGGCAUCUUGUGGGUUGGAAAGAUUUUUUUUGGUUGGGGAUGGACUCGCGGCCUAUCAGCUUGUUGGUGAGGUAGUGGCUCACCAAGGCUUCGACGGGUAGCCGGCCUGAGAGGGCGACCGGCCACAUUGGGACUGAGAUACGGCCCAAACUCCUACGGGAGGCAGCAGUGGGGAAUAUUGCACAAUGGACGGAAGUCUGAUGCAGCAACGCCGCGUGCGGGAUGACGGCCUUCGGGUUGUAAACCGCUUUCAAUUGUGACGAAGCUUUUUUGUGACGGUAGCAGUAGAAGAAGCACCGGCUAACUACGUG
rnacentral:rRNA from 1 species